rnacentral:rRNA from 1 species
UACGGGGGGGGCAAGCGUUGUUCGGAAUUACUGGGCGUAAAGGCUCGUAGGCGGCCAACUAAGUCAGACGUGAAAUCCCCCAGGCUCAACCUGGGAACUGCGUCUGAUACUGGAUGGCUUGAAUCCGGGAGAGGGAUGCAGAAUUCCAGGUGUAGCGGUGAAAUGCGUAGAUAUCUGGAGGAAUACCGGUGGCGAAGGCGGCAUCCUGGACCGGCAUUGACGCUGAGGAGGCGAAAGCGUGGGGAGCAACAGG